AGUGCAGGGACUGUGGAGCCUUUGGACACAAAGCCAGUAGCGUCAGGUGCCGUGUGCAGUACUGACAAGGGGCCCUGGCCCCCCAGCCCUUGGGCUAUAAACUCAGGAAGGAAAAUCUAGAACCACGGAAGCUUCAGAUCCUACAGAUCCUGAGGACCUGUAACCCAGUUGAUAGAGGCAAGGAGCAGAGGCCACGGCAAGUGGGGCAUCAGCUGAAGUUACUCCAGAGACUUCCUGGGAGACCACAGGGGCAGCAGUGGUGCUGGAAGGAAGCAAUGGAAUCCUGUGACUAUGUGAGGCAUCCUCACAGGCUGACGCUCAUCCAGCCAUCCAGGAGGAAAUCCCUCCUGGAACUGGAGCAGCCAAGUAGGCCACCUCUCAGGAAAGAUGAGCUGAAAUCUACCCAGCCUUUGGUGUCUCUCAGCAAGAAAAGUUUGGUGCAGCACCCCCACAGCAGCAUCCAGGCUCCAGGCAAGAGAUCUGCCCAGAGCUCCAUCCAGCAUUAUCUGCACCACCUCAAAGAAACCUAGACUCAGCCCCAUGCCAACCCCUCAGAAGAGCUCACUGACAUCAGAUCUGAGGGUCUUCCAGUAUCUCCAUCACCCAUGCAGUACAACUGGACAUGGACCCACAGUGACACCCCAUGUGACCAGUAAGACACCUGCACAGCUGCCAGGCCCUCUUCCCAGCCUCCACUCAGCAGAUCUGGCUCUGACACUGUCCAAGCCUCGCUGUAGCCCAUCCUCCACCCACUAGCCUUGUUCCAGGCCAGCCUCUCAGGAUGCUCUUCAGGAGAAUAAGCAAAGGCUAGUGGAGCUGCAGCGACAUGGUGCCUCCCCCACCCCCACCUGCAGAGAAGCUGGCCCCUCCUGCUCUGAGCUGCCCUGUCUGCAGGGAGCCUGAGGGUCCCUGCACCCCAGGCUCCUGAAGUGUCCUCUACGAGGACCUUCAGGUGUCCUCUUCCUCUGAAGAGAGUGACUGGGAGGGAGACACCCAUGACCGCUAAAACUUGUCCUCCAGCCCCAGGUGCCCUGAAAGUGAUGAUUCCCUGAGAAGGGGAAGUCACACAGAGUGGCCUGUCCCUAUGAGUUAGUGGUUCUUCACCUCUGGUGGAUGCAAACCCAGACCAGCCCUGGGAACAGGCACCUGCAAACAGUGCACUUUCUCAGGAUGGAAUUAUAGGCACAUUCCAAGUGGAGUAUACUUCCCAAACUGGAAUGUAAAGUUGUUUGUGAAUCUAAACCCUAUUUAAGGCAUUGAGAUGAAUAUAGGAGUCAAUUGUAACUGUUGUGUAAGUGGAAGCUAUAGUGUUUGUCUGCAUUUGGGGGAAAAUGUCUGAACUUUCGACACCAGGCUAAAGGGCCCAACUUUGUUUUGCAAAACGUGAGCGGUGCCCUGUCCUGAGCUGAGACCUGUGGGCUCUGAGAGUUCACUCCCUGUAAAUCAGGAUGAGGAGAUAACCACGAGGCUCAGGUUAUUAUAUUUUAGUGAAUAUUGU